GAGCAUCCGUAAUACCGACUGUAUGUC
rnacentral:piRNA from 1 species